rnacentral:rRNA from 1 species
UACAGAGGUCUCAAGCGUUGUCCGGAUUUAUUGGGCGUAAAGAGCGUGUAGGCGGCCAUGUAGGUCCGGUGUGAAAACUCGAGGCUUAACCUCGAGAUGUCAUCGGAAACCAUUUGGCUAGAGUCCGGAAGAGGAGAGUGGAAUUCCCGGUGUAGCGGUGAAAUGCGCAGAUAUCGGGAGGAACACCUAUGGCGAAGGCAGCUCGCUGGGACGUUACUGACGCUGAGACGCGAAAGCGUGGGGAGCAAACAGG